AACGAACGCUGGCGGCGUGCCUAACACAUGCAAGUCGAACGAGAAAGGGGCUUCGGCUCCGAGUAAAGUGGCGCACGGGUGAGUAACACGUGGGUAACCUGCCUCUAAGAUUGGGAUAACUCGUCGAAAGAUGAGCUAAUACCGAAUAAGACCACAGUUCCCGCGGGAACAGGGGUCAAAGGUAGCCUCUGCUUGCAAGCUAUCACUUAGAGAUGGGCCUGCGCACCAUUAGCUAGUUGGUAGGGUAACGGCCUACCAAGGCAAAGCUGGUUAGCUGGUCUGAGAGGAUGAUCAGCCACACUGGAACUGAGACACGGUCCAGACUCCUACGGGAGGCAGCAGUGGGGAAUAUUGCGCAAUGGGCGAAAGCUUGACGCAGCAACGCCGCGUGAGUGAUGAAGGCCUUCGGGUCGUAAAGCUCUGUCGGGAGGAACGAAUGCUCCUGAGGUUAACAGCCUCGGGAGGUGACGGUACCUUCAAAGGAAGCACCGGCUAACUCUGUG
rnacentral:rRNA from 1 species